UGAUAUUCARUUCGUGUGAUCUUUUUCUCUUUGUUUUAGCACCUAAGGCACCUGCGGCCRGCAGCCUCACCCUUGCAAGUGCCAGACCAGCAUGGAGACAAAAAGAUCAGCCUCACACUCAAAAGCAAUUUGUCUUUGAAAAACCGUCAGAGGUGGAGCGCAGAGUUCCUGAGGCAGGUGUGAUAGACAAGCCUGGUGUGUAUGAGCUCAGCAAGGGACCAACUGGUAUUUCUAGGAUUCAUUUGAUUCCUGGCUUUAUUG
rnacentral:lncRNA from 1 species